CCUANGGGGGGCAGCAGUCGAGAAGCUUCGGCAAUGGGCGAAAGCCUGACCGAGCGACGCCGCGUGAGCGAUGAAGGCCCUAUGGGUUGUAAAGCUCUGUCAGAUUGGGAAGAAAACUUCGAGGUUAAUACCCCCGAAGCUUGACGGUACCAUCAGAGGAAGCACCGGCUAACUCCGUGCCAGCAGCCGCGGUAAUACGGAGGGUGCAAGCGUUGUUCGGAUUCACUGGGUAUAAAGGGUGCGUAGGCGGCGCGAUAAGUCAGGGGUGAAAUAUGUCGGCUCAACCGACAAACUGCCCUGAAACUGCCGCGCUUGAGGUCGGGAGAGGAAGGUGGAAUUCCAGGUGUAGCGGUGAAAUGCGUAAAUAUCUGGAGGAACACCAAUGGCGAAGGCAGCCUUCUGGUCCGAUUCUGACGCUGAGGCACGAAAGCUAGGGGAGCAAACGGGAUUAGAUACCCUGNUANUC
rnacentral:rRNA from 1 species